rnacentral:snRNA from 1 species
AUCACUUCUCAGCCUUUUGGCUAAGAUCAAGUGUAGUAUCUGUUCUUAUCAGUAAAAGGGAAUUUCUUUGAAACACAU